rnacentral:rRNA from 1 species
UGCGUAGGUGGUGUGGCAAGUCAGAUGUGAAAUCCCGGGGCUCAACCUCGGAACUGCAUCCGAUACUACCGCACUUGAGGACUGGAGAGGAGACUGGAAUUCUCGGUGUAGCAGUGAAAUGCGUAGAGAUCGAGAGGAACACUCGUGGCGAAAGCGAGUCUCUGGACAGUUCCUGACACUGAGGCACGAAGGCCGGGGUAGCGAAAG